UUCUCUUUAUUUUGUCUAGUUUUUAUAUGUCUGAGAUUGUUCCAGGGAUUGGAGAAUGAUUAGGGAGGCUAGGAAGGAAGAAUGAUCGAUCAGGCACUGCCCAGGUAAAUAAAUAAAUAAAAAAUCCUUUCUUCUCUCUCUCACGCCGAUCAUGUCUCUCUCUUUCUCUCUUUCAAAUUUUUUUUUUCUUUUUAAACUCUCUCAAUUCUUGGUCGAUAAUGGUGAUUCAAAGCCUCGUUCCACUCGAUUUUAAGUGUAGUUUCUGAUUCUAGAACUCUUAUCUCCUCUUAAUCAAGGCAUAAUGUCGGGCAGCAAACGCCAUAGAAGGUCAUCAAGCACCGCUCUGAGCGCUAAUUUGAC
rnacentral:lncRNA from 1 species